rnacentral:tRNA from 1 species
GCCGCUGUCGUCUAAUGGUUCAGGACGCUAGGUUCUCAUCCUAGUAAUCGGGGUUCGACUCCCCGUGGCGGUA